ACAGUCGUGGCCGAGUGGUUAAGGCGAUGGACUCGAAAUCCAUUGGGGUGUCCCCGCACAGGUUCGAAUCCUGUCGGCUGCG
rnacentral:tRNA from 1 species